AGCAUUCGUCUUCUGGUUACGGGGCCAUAGCUCAGCUGGGAGAGCGCGUGCUUUGCAAGCAUGAGGUCGUCGGUUCGAUCCCGUCUGGCUCCACCAGAUGGUUUGAUCACCAACGGCGCAACCGUCGUCCGCGAAACAUCACUUCGCACUCAUUGGUCCGGAUGGACGGUGACGUGCGUGUUUUCUGACAUCGUAAAGAGGAGAUCGAUCCGAGUUUGGAUCAAGCGAAGCAAUUCGCCUGAGCCAUUCAUUAUCUCCGGGAUCAUUUCGGCGCUCGCGCAUCGCAACUCAUCGCAAGAUGAGUGAGAUGAGCGGGUUGUAAAUGAUCUCUUUUAGCGAAGCUUGACCGCCUCGCUAUCGGGCCGAUCUUACGAAGCAAGCUGGUCUUUCUAGUCAAUGUCCUUCUGUGCAAUCGCAUUCAUCGAGGAUGCGCGCCUGAGACUUCGGUCUUUGGGCAGUUACACAGACAACAUUCUGCCGAGUGUGUGGACAUUGAUAAUGAGAGCAAUCAAGUGCCUUAAGGGUGUUCGGUGGAUGCCUUGGCGCUGAGAGGCGAUGAAGGACGUGCUACGCUGCGAUAAGCCGU
rnacentral:misc_RNA from 2 species